CGUCCAGACUCCUACGGGAGGCAGCAGUGGGGGAUAUUGCACAAUGGGGGAAACCCUGAUGCAGCGACGCCGCGUGAGCGAUGAAGUAUUUCGGUAUGUAAAGCUCUAUCAGCAGGGAAGAAAAUGACGGUACCUGACUAAGAAGCCCCGGCUAACUACGUGCCAGCAGCCGCGGUAAUACGUAGGGGGCAAGCGUUAUCCGGAUUUACUGGGUGUAAAGGGAGCGUAGACGGCGGCGCAAGCCAGAUGUGAAAGCCCGGGGCUCAACCCCGGGACUGCAUUUGGAACUGUGCCGCUAGAGUGUCGGAGAGGCAAUCGGAAUUCCGUGUGUAGCGGUGAAAUGCGUAGAUAUACGGAGGAACACCAGUGGCGAAGGCGGAUUGCUGGACAGUAACUGACGCUGAGGCGCGAAAGCGUGGGGAGCAAACAGGAUUAGAUACCCGCGUAGAC
rnacentral:rRNA from 1 species